UCAGGAAAGAAUGAAGCUUCAAGGUAUAAGAGAGCGCGGCUCUGCAGAGCCUGUAGGAUUCCUCUAGCAAGAAAACUUAGAGACACUCCUUGAAGCUUCAUGGAGCAUGGGCCAGGGAUCCAGACCCGGAGAGAGUGUAAUGUGCUCUUGACCUUGCAGUGUGAGACUGAUCUGGACUCAGGACUCUGUUUCAUGCAGUAUGAGAAGCUAGUCUGUGUAGCAGAUGCCGUGGAGUACCACCCAAAGACCCCCUCAGAAGAAAGGCUCUCAGUACCCCACUCCAGUGGCUUAGAGUGAUAGCCACACGCGGACAGCCCAUGACUGACUCCGUCUUGGAGAAAUGCUCUCAAUCAGAGAAAAGAAGACUGAAAAUCAAACCAGUUAAGCGCUUUCUCCAAAGGUCUCAAAAGUGGGGUGACAGCUGGUAUGUACACACAGAUAAAGAAACUGAGGCACAGAGUGGUUGCCUCACACUUCCCGGGGUCACAGCGUCGCAGACUCUGAAAGUGUGACUCCUAUCUUUAACUGGAACAAGAAAUUAGAAGAAUUAUAUACAGUAUUUGGCUACAGAAGAAAAAAGAGAAGAAGUCUGGAUGUAACCCUGGCCGGGAAUGACUUUGUCACCGCUUGGAUUCUGUGAGUCAUUCUCCAAAGAAGGAAGCUCCAGGUCUAAUGAGUUCUGACUCAAGAUUCUUUCCCUGAUAAAUUUAAAAUAUGCCGCCACU